AUGCUCACUUCAGCAGCACAUAUACUAAAAUUGGACCAACACAGAGAAGAUUAGCAUGGCCCCUGUACAAGGAUGACACACAAAUUCUUGAAACAUUCCAUAUUUUU
ensembl:snRNA U6 U6 spliceosomal RNA